rnacentral:rRNA from 1 species
GGACGAACGCUGGCGGCGUGCUUAACACAUGCAAGUCGAGCGGUAAGGCCCUUCGGGGUACACGAGCGGCGAACGGGUGAGUAACACGUGGGUGAUCUGCCUCGCACUUCGGGAUAAGCCUGGGAAACUGGGUCUAAUACCGGAUAUGACUUCCAGCUGCAUGGUUGGUGGUGGAAAGAUUUAUCGGUGCGAGAUGGGCCCGCGGCCUAUCAGCUUGUUGGUGGGGUAAUGGCCUACCAAGGCGACGACGGGUAGCCGGCCUGAGAGGGCGACCGGCCACACUGGGACUGAGACACGGCCCAGACUCCUACGGGAGGCAGCAGUGGGGAAUAUUGCACAAUGGGCGAAAGCCUGAUGCAGCGACGCCGCGUGAGGGAUGACGGCCUUCGGGUUGUAAACCUCUUUCGACAGGGACGAAGCGCAAGUGACGGUACCUGUAGAAGAAGCACCGGCCAACUAC